rnacentral:rRNA from 1 species
GUCGUUAGUUGCCACAGGUCAAGCUGGGAACUCUAACGAGACUGCCGGUGUAAACCGCGAGGAAGGUGUGGAUGACGUCAAAUCAGCACGGCCCUUACAUCCAGGGCUACACACGUGUUACAAUGGUCGGUACAGAGGGCAGCUACCAGGCAACUGGAUGCGAAUCUCAAAAACCGGUCUCAGUUCGGAUUGGAGUCUGCAACCCGACUCCAUGAAGCUGGAUUCGCUAGUAAUCGCGCAUCAGCCAUGGCGCGGUGAAUACGUUCCCGGGCCUU